ACAUUCAUAUAAUAAAUACUGUAGUGCCAGGUGUGUUACAGGUGUGUGUUACAGGUGUGUGUUACAGGUGUGUUACAGGUGUGUUACAGGUGUGUGUUACAGGUGUGUGUUAUAGGUGUGUUACAGGUGUGUUACAGGUGUGUGUUACAGGUGUGUUACAGGUGUGUUACAGCUGUGUGUUACAGGUGUGUGUUACAGGUGUGUUACAGCUGUGUGUUAUAGGUGUGUGUUACAGGUGUGUGUUACAGGUGUGUUACAGCUGUGUGUUACAGGUGUGUUACAGGUGUGUUACAGCUGUGUGUUACAGGUGUGUUACAGGUGUGUUACAGGUGUGUGUUACAGGUGUGUUACAGGUGUGUUACAGCUGUGUGUUACAGGUGUGUGUUACAGGUGUGUUACAGCUGUGUGUUAUAGGUGUGUGUUACAGGUGUGUGUUACAGGUGUGUGUUACAGGUGUGUUACAGCUGUGUGUUACAGGUGUGUUACAGGUGUGUGUUACAGGUGUGUUACAGCUGUGUGUUACAGGCGUGUGUUACAGGUUUGUUAGAGGUGUGUGUUAUAGGUGUGUGUUACAGGUGUGUGUUAUAGGUGUGUGUUACAGGUGUGUGUUAUAGGUGUGAUUAUAGGUGUGUGUUAUAGGUGUGUUACAGAUGUGUGUUAUAGGUGUGUGUUAUAGGUGUGAUUAUAGGUGUGUGUUACAGGUGUUUGUUACAGGUGUGUUACAGGUGUGUGUUACAGGUGUGUGUUAUAGGUGUGUUACAGGUGUGUGUUACAGGUGUGUGUUAUAGGUGUGUGUUACAGGUGUGUGUUACAGGUGUGUGUUAUAGGUGUGUGUUACAGGUGUGUGUUAUAGGUGUGUGUUACAGGUGUGUGUUAUAGGUGUGUGUUACAGGUGUGUGUGUGGAUGCGCUCACUGUGACUCCUUCAAACUGCGUCUGCUUCAGGGCCUCCAGCAGCAUCCUGUGGACCUCCUCCUCACUGACACUGACGUUCCUCUGGACGCUGUACUUCUCUCUGUGU